rnacentral:rRNA from 1 species
GAAAUGCGAUAAGUAAUGUGAAUUGCAGAAUUCAGUGAAUCAUCGAAUCUUUGAACGCACCUUGCGCCCGUUGGUAUUCCGACGGGCAUGCCUGUUUGAGUGUCGUGAACAACCUCAACCUUGAUUGGUUUUACCAUCAAGGCUUGGACUUGGGUGUUGCUGCUGCAAAGUGGCUCGCCUUAAAACUAUUAGCUGGACUUGUCUAUGACUUGGUUCGACUCGAUGUAAUAAGUAUUCAUCGGGGACAGGGUUAAACCUGGCCAAGGCUUGAUGCCGUCUGCUUCUAAUCAUGUUCUCACUAUGAGACGCUACUUUACUGUGUGGCCUCAAAUCAGGUAGGAUUACCCGCUGAACUUAA